rnacentral:tRNA from 1 species
GGGGUUGUAGCUCAGUGGUAGAGUGCUUGCCUCCCACGCAUGAGCCACUGGGUUUGAUCCUCAGCACCA